CUAACUACGUUAGCUAGCAGCCCGCGGUAAGUAUCGUAGGUGGUAAAGUCGUUAUUCCAGACAUCAUUGGGCCGUCAGAGUCGCGCGCAGGCCGCUUCCUUUAAGUCUGAUGUUGAAAGCCUCACGGCUCAACUGUGCAGGGUCAUUGGAAAAUGCGGUACUUGAGUGCAGAAGAGGAAAGCGGAAUUUCACGUGUAGCGGUGAAAUGCGUAGAGAUGUGGAGGCACACCAGUGGCGCAGGCGUCCUUCUGGUCUGUAACUGACUCUGAGUCGCGAAAGCGUGGGGAGCAAACAGUAUUAGAUACCGUGGUAGUACAUGUCGUAACAGAUGAGUGCUAAGUGUUAGAGGGUUUCCUCCUUUUAGUCAUGCAGCUACCGCAUUAAGCACUCCGCCUGGGGAGUACGGCCGCAGGCUUGAAACUCAAAGGAAUUGACGCGGGCCCGCACAAGCGGUGGACCAUGUGGUUUAAUUAGAAGCAACGCGAAGAUCCUUCCCAGGUCUUGACAUCCUAUGUCACUCUUAGAGAUAGGACGUUCCCCUUCGGGGGACAGAGAGACAGGUGGUGCAUGGUUGUCGUCAGCUCGUGUAGUGAGAUGUUGGGUUAAGUCCCGCAACGAGCGCAACCCUUGUUCUUAGUUGCCAGCAUUCAGUUGGGCACUCUAAGGAGACUGCCGGUGACAAGCCGGAGGAAGGUGGGGAUGACGUCAAAUCAUCAUGCCCCUUAUGACCUGGGCUACACACGUGCUACAAUGGAUGGUACAAAGGGCUGCGAGACCGCGAGGUUUAGCCAAUCCCAUAAAACCAUUCUCAGUUCGGAUUGUAGACUGCAACUCCCCUACAUGAAGCCGGAAUCGCUAGUAAUCGCGGAUCAGCAUGCCGCGGUGAAUACGUUCCCGGGCCUUGUACCCCCCGCCCGUCACACCCCGAGAGUUUGUAACACCGGAAGUCGGUGGGGUAACUGUAAGGAGCUCACACGUACUAAAAGGUGGCCAAAAUGUC
rnacentral:rRNA from 1 species